rnacentral:lncRNA from 10 species
AUUCCAGACCAGCUUGGCCAACAUGGUUAAAACUCAUCUCUACUAAAAAUACAAAAAAUUAGCCAGGUAACGUGGUGCAUGUCUAUAAUCCCAGCUACUCAGGAGGCUGAGGCACAAGAAUCACUUGAACCUGGCAGGCAGAGAUUGCAGUGAGCCAAGAUUGUGCCACUGCGCUGUAGCCUGGGUGACAGAGUGAGACUCUGUCUCAAAGAAAAGAAAGUAAUGGCAUUACUUUUAAUGGCAUAAACUGCAAUUACUUUUGUGCCAACCUAAUAUAUUCUUUAUUGCAAGGACAGAACACUUUUUUUGUUCAAAUCUAGAGUAAUCUGUUUAAAGAUAUUUUUGCAUCUUUUGUGUUAUUAAAAUGUAGCUCAUUAUAUCUCCUUAAGAUAUCUAGCAUUUUGCUUCAACAAAGCCAUCCAUGUGAUUUGUUUGCAUCUUAUAUUUACUAAAGACAACUUUUUCUGCCUCAACUGGAAAGAGGCCUAUGACUUUCUAUAUUAAAAUAUAACUUUAAAUCUUUUUUGCCCUUUAAUAUUAUUGUUUUCUCAGCAUUGGAGUUCUUCCUGUCUUCUCUCAAGAAGAGAGAGAAAUUCUACAUUUAUUCUUGAAAGAAGAAUCAAGAAGAACAUGACAUAUCUAAAAACCCAGCUGUGAAGACCAUAGGCAUGUAACAGCCAAGUCAUUUCUGUGGACGACAUCAUUUAGACAUAACAGGUGUAAAUCCAAUCGGAACUACACACAGGAAAACCCAUAGUGGAAGUACUUGCAACGUGAAUGGCAGAAUUCCCAUAAGAAGCAGACUGUGGUAUCUGACCAGCAGAAGUCUCCCAAGAAGUGCUUCCACAGCUGUUUCCAACAUGCUCAUGGUUAUGUCCAUACGACUUCCUCUUCCAACUCUGCCCUCUGACACCAUGGGUGUGUGACCCAAGUACAGAGAGGUAGGUGUCCCUCCUGGCCCCAAUAAGCCUUCAUGAUGUUAUGGUUAUUUUGUGGGCAUCAACUUUCCCUUCAAACAGAGAACACAGUGAUAUACUUUAUACUGUAAGUUCUCUGCUUUAGAUGUUUGCUCCAGGAACAGAUGCAAAAAUACACAGCUGUACCCUCAAAUUUUAGGGAAAGAGUCUGAAAUACAUCACCAGAGGUCUGCAGAAUGUGUUCAUUGUUAACAAAUUGAUGAGCUUAAUUGGUUUUACUCUGUGAUUUAAAAAGAAGUCCAUUUUUGUCCAUCUUAGCUACUCCACUUAACUUUUAAUUUCACACUUUAUUGCCUUUAUUUUUGCUGUUCUCAUCACUUGAACUAUUCAGUUAUCUUUGUUAUGCUUGGUUAACAGCUAUUAACUUGGCAAGCCAGUCUUUGCUUCAAGCAGCUAUUCUCCCUGAUUUAGUCAGUACAUUCCAUUUCAGUUCACAUUCCAAUAAGGAGUAAUAUGAGACACUAGAAAGAAGAGAACCCACACAUCAAAAAUUGCAAUACUAAAUUCAUGUUUACCGCAAUUCACAACCAGGAGAUAAUUCACCUAUUACAAUAAGUUGCAUCACAAAGCUACAGGGAUCUUACUGAUAGAAGAGUUAUUACUUUUAGAUUAAGUGUUAUAGACGUUGUAUACAACCUAAAUAGUGCUGAAACCUUUCAGCUUCUGAACGUUGGCCCUCAUAAUAUUCAGAAAUGUUAGUUCCUCUGUAUAAUAACAAUUAGUGUAAUAUAGCUAGUCUUUUUUAAAUAUUAUUUUUUGAGACAUUGAUAGCUUCUUAGAUAGCAAGACAUAAAUUUACCAAAGUUUAUUUUAGACAAGUCAUUAUUAGAAAGAUAAAUUAGUUGUUUAUUCAAUUGUGUAAAUAAUCACUACUCUAAUUUCUUUUGUAACCCUGGAAAUGUCAAUACUAUUAAAGAAUUAAACUGAAUCAUAUAACUUACAAAGAGUAUUUGAUGAGAAUUUACUAAGUAAAAAACAAAUACUUAACACAGCCUUCUAACUUUUCAUACCUGUGAUUUCCAGAGAAGAACUUAUCUCUUCUCUUUCAUAGUGAUACAUUAGGCUGUAUUUAUCCUCUCAAAGGAAUUACAAGAUUUCUUUGUUUUUCUUUUUAGACCAUUUUCUAUGUGAAAAGGAUUAACACUGACAUAACGAGAGUUUUUCAAGGACCUCUGAUAAACAGGGAUGUGAUAUUUGUCCACAAAUCUAAGCACCAUUAUAUGUAGGACACCAGAGAAACUGGAGAUACUAAGAAUAUAAUUCAUAAAUACAAAAAUGUCUUUAAUAAUUUCUGUGUGGUGUUUAUUAAGGCUCAAAAAAUAAAUCCUUAAUCAAUAAAUUACUAAAAACAAAAUAUUAUUUUCCAAUUGUAAACACCUAUUAUUUUUUGCUGAAAUAUAUUUAAAGAAAUAUUUAUACAAUGUUGAUAUUAAUAUAGAUAUUGAUGUUAAUACUCAUAUUAAUACAAAAAUAUGUUAACAUUUGCUUAAGGUAUUUAUUUUAUAACAUUAUUAUGUUCAAAAAUAUAUUAACAUGAAUAACCUGCAAAUUGGUUCAUUAGUUUAUUAGACAAACCAAAACCAACCGUAUGCCCACUAUGCAUAUGGCCCAUACACUCAACACAUCACAGAGAAAGAGCACAAAUAAGGUAAACAAAUACAAGUUACAGUUUAUUUUUAGAGAAAUUUUAAAAUAAAACAUUAUAGAUGCUCUGUAAUUUUCCACUUAAUUUUCAUUGUCUAAUGUGUUCAUCUCUCUGAAAUCAUUUCCAAAAUGCUGUUUACCAAAAACAAGAAUAAUGUUUAGAGGCCUCAAAAAUGUUUGAGGUCAUACAUCAAAUAGGUUUUCUUUUUAUUCUUAAAAGCUAUCUGUAGAGUAUCUCUACUUGCCUUUUAGGUCUAUAUUAUUGGGCAUAUUGACCACUGGCUUCUAUCAAAAGCAGUUUGUUUAUUAGUCACUUCUGAGCAUUCUCUAAAUCAUUAAGGCCUGAAAAGUAUGGUAUGCAGGAGUGUCGGGUUGUUGUACAUGAAAAGAAAAAAUUUACUCUACUAAACAUACUCUGCAGAUAAAAAUUAUUGCAUGAAUUCAUGUCGUAAAGGGUAAAAAAAAGGGAGGGGCACAAAAACUGCUAAUGUCUCCCCAGAAGUCUGCACUGUUUGCUACCAAAAUUCCCUUUUUUAAUUGAAUUUUCAUAUCUAAAUCUUUUACACACAAUACCAAAAACUAACCCAUGAGCCAUGUGAAAUGAUACACAGCUGGAUGCUCCUUGCAGAUUUGCCGAAGCAUGACUCUCUUAAUCAAAAGCAUUUGGAUCUUUUUUAAUAAGCCUUGCAGUGAUUUAAAGAAUUUGAUCACAGCAGUUAUCAAGCUCACACAUCACACAGUUUGGUUAAAGGCCUUUUCACUGCUCAUUCACAUCAGCCAGACAUGACAAAAGAAUUCUCUAUGAUUACUUAGAGAAAUGUUCUCUAUUAUUCUAAAUGUUUCCAGUGGAUUAUGUCAUGUGUCAGAGAUUAUAGUAUAAUUUUGGUGGUGUUUAUUAUCUUAAUGUGGUGACCCAAAGUAUGGCACUGUUUCAGUGAAGUAUGUGGCAUCACAGAAGAUAGGCUUCACUUCAAUAAAAGAUAGUGAUAUAGUUUGGUUCUUUGUCCCCACCCAAAUCUCAUCUCGAAUUGUAAUCCCCAAGUAUGCAGGGAGGGACCUGUAAUAUCCAUGUAUCAAGGGAGGGAAGUGAUUGGAUUGUAGGGAGGGGUUUCCCCCAUGCUGGUCUCAUGAGAGUGAGUGGGUUCUCACAGGAUCUGAUGAUAUUAUAAGUGUCUGACAUUUCGACUGCUUGCACUUGUCUCUCCUGUAGCAAUGUAAAAAAGGUCCUUUCUUCCCCUUUGCCUUCCACCAUGAUUGUAACUUUCCUAAGACCUCCCU